AUUGAACGCUGGCGGCGUGCUUAACACAUGCAAGUCGAGCGGAAAGGCCCUUCGGGGUACUCGAGCGGCGAACGGGUGAGUAACACGUGAGUAAUCUGCCCCAGGCUCUGGGAUAGCCACCGGAAACGGUGAUUAAUACCGGAUACGACAACUUCCUGCAUGGGAUGGUCGUGGAAAGUUUUUCGGCCUGGGAUGUGCUCGCGGCCUAUCAGCUUGUUGGUGAGGUAAUGGCUCACCAAGGCUUCGACGGGUAGCCGGCCUGAGAGGGUAACCGGCCACACUGGGACUGAGACACGGCCCAGACUCCUACGGGAGGCAGCAGUGGGGAAUAUUAGACAAUGGGCGGAAGCCUGAUCCAGCAACGCCGCGUGAGGGAUGACGGCCUUCGGGUUGUAAACCUCUUUCAGCACAGACGAAGCGCAAGUGACGGUAUGUGCAGAAGAAGGACCGGCCAACUACGUGCCAGCAGCCGCAGUAAGAC
rnacentral:rRNA from 1 species